UACAGAGGUGGCAAGCGUUGUUCGGAAUUACUGGGCGUAAAGGGCGCGUAGGCGGCCUUCUAAGUCAGACGUGAAAUCCCCCGGCUUAACCUGGGAACUGCGUCUGAUACUGGAGGGCUUGAGUGCGGGAGAGGGAUGUGGAAUUCCAGGUGUAGCGGUGAAAUGCGUAGAUAUUAGGAGGAACACCAGUGGCGAAGGCGACUGCCUGGCUUACAACUGACGCUGAGACGCGAAAGCGUGGGGAGCAAACAGG
rnacentral:rRNA from 1 species